UUUACGUCAUUCCCUCGGUGGUUGUCGAACUAGUAAUACGUGAGCAAGUGACGUACAAUAAAUAUUUCUGAGGUCUAUACAUUAUACGUUCCAAAGGGUAGUUUUACAAGCGGUUCAGGCGGUGGAAACAAUUUCUUCGUUCUCCCUAGUCUUCUGUUUAUGUUAUCAAAAUAAGAUUAUUUUACAGAUAUAAUAGACAAAAUAAGAUUUAGUUCCCAAAGACUUGAAGUAUUGCAAAGGAGUCCAAUUGACUUACAUUUGAAUUUAAUUCCAAAGAAGAUACACGAAAUUCAACUACGCACAACGUGGUAAUGAAAUAUUCGACAUUCGAAGUGUUACAUAUUUACAUCGGUACUUCCUGUUCUUCCGACCAUAAGUUCUACAUGGAUAGUACAAAGUCUGUGUUUACCGAAAGAUUUUAUGAAGUCCAUUAAUGUAUUUCCAUUUAGAAGUGAAUUGAAUUCAAAUCUUCCACGCCAUAUGAAACCCAAUUCGCGAGAAAAACACCUAAUUCUCAGGUGUAUGGAAACAACGUGACGCCAUUACUGGCGCAUUACUACAGUUACCAUCGAUUUUAAUACCGAAUUUUUAUAAACGAGGUAUGAAAAGAUCAGAUAUAAGUAAUUUGUAACAUAUCGUUUCCAAUUUUCUGUAUAAAUUUCAUCUUUUAUACUAAAGCGCAUUGGGUUGUGAAGUACGAAGUGUGAUUCAAGAAGCAAUUCGAAAAUCUAACCAAAAAAAGAACACUUAGCUAUUCCUCAUAGGUUAAGUUCUCUUAAACCUUCUUAUUUUUAUGUAUUGCAACAUAAUGGUACUAUACAGGUAGAUUUGAUACUGAGUAAUCACUUUUUUACAUGUUUGAUUGAUAUGUUCAUUUUUGGAAAAUAGAUUGGACUACAAUUUGUAUACACAAUUGUUCUAAUCAGGAUAUCCGUAAAUUCGGCUCCUAUGUAAUUACUAUCAGAUGUUGGAAUUGCUUUCGCCUUUGAUUUUCUUUCGUAUAUAUUUAAAACAAGUCAAAAUUCGUAGAUUAGUUAAGACAUAUCAAAGCUAUUCGUUCAUUUUAAUUGUAUAAUUAACGAAGAUAAGUCAGAUGAUAUCAUUCAAGUGCUACAGUAAUUUCUAUACGCAACAAAAUAAUAAUUAUAAUGAGAUGAAUCAAGAGAAUCAAUUUCAUUGCUAUAAUAUAGAAAUGUAACUUUGAAUUAAUUCUAAUGCAAACGGCAACUGCUAAAUUUAAAGAUUAUUGAUGGAGUAAAAGAAUGACGAGUGAGAAUGGUGAAAUUGUUUCUGCCGUUUCAAUUGCUUGUAAAGAUGUUCUUUCGGAUGUAUGAUGUAUAUACACCUCGGGCAUAUUUCACGUAUGGCACUCACUCGUGUAUUACUAGUUCGGAAACCACCGAAGGAAUGACUUUCCCCGGCGAAAUUAAUCUUAUGUUGUCCCGUUAUAAAACCAUGAUUCCUACUUAGUUCAUAAAAAAUUCCCCUCUCCUGUAAUUAUUUAGUUAUAUUUUCAUUUCUUCUACGUACAUGAGAAAUUAUCUCAUAAAUCUUGGAAUCUUGUAAUGCAAUCGACAAUUAUUCGUUUCAUUCUUAAUCGAAAUUAUCAUGUAAAAUUGUAUUUUUUUUAAUUAAAAUUAUAUAAAUAAUUAUGUAUUUAUUAUAAAAUUAUGUAUUAAUUAUAGUUACAUAAGUUCAAAUUUUUUAAUUAUGCUUUUAAUUGUAUUAUUUAUAAUAUAAUUAAUUAUUAUGAAUAA